rnacentral:rRNA from 1 species
UACGAAGGGGGCUAGCGUUGUCCGGAAUUAUUGGGCGUAAAGAGCGUGUAGGCGCCAGACAGGUCCGUUGUGAAAACUCGAGGCUCAACCUCGAGACGCCGAUGGAAACCGUCUGGCUAGAGUCCGGAAGAGGAGAGUGGAAUUCCUGGUGUAGCGGUGAAAUGCGCAGAUAUCAGGAAGAACACCCGUGGCGAAGGCGGGUCUCUGGGCAGUAACUGACGCUGAGGAGCGAAAGCGUGGGGAGCGAACAGG